AUGAGCACUUAUUGGACUCAGCCCAAGUGGUCUAGUUAUCCAUGUAGGCUGGUGGCAGAACAGCCAGCAUAACGUUGGUCUCUGAUUUUUCUGGGAGCCAUUUGCCAGAAAGCCUCGCAACAUCGAAGCACGUGCGUCCCGUAAAUGGACGCUGUUGGCGCUGGAAUUUUCGGAUUGCAGUGAAAAGUGCGCAUCGUGGUUUGAUGCGACGGUUUAAAUGGCGCGAACGUUAACGUAAACUGCCAAACAGUUGCACAGAAAUGCUGGGUCCCCUAUUGUGUCCCCAGCUGUUGUGGCAGAACGGCAGCCAUGGGACAGAGCUACCAGACCCCCGUGUUUUCUUUAGGACUCAGACAGAGGUGCUGAGCUGCUUGCUGUGGAGCUGACAGUCAUGCUGCAGGCUAACUGAAGGGGCAUGUGGAGCAGCUGGUCUGCAGGAGGCAGCAAGGAGCUGAGCCUGAGCCAGUGUAAUGGUGCAAGGCUGGUCUGGAUUACUGGAAAAGCUCCUGUCUCAGUCCACCUGCUGGGAUGUGACUGGGCUGCUGCCAGUCACCGGUAAACCCUACAGCCUGUGUGAAACACUGACGUAGGGUUUGAGCUGAGCCGAAUGAAGCACAGUUGCUGCGGCUUGUCACCUGACUGACAGUAGAAUUUAACCUGGGUGAAGUGUAUAAAACCAAUUUGUACCAGGCUAUAAACAUGUGGAGAACUCUGCUUCCAGGGUUCUCGCUCACACUAGGCCGUGGCAGCUUCACUGGCUCCCGGUAAAAUUCCCCAUCACCUAUAAAUCUCUCCAUGCCACUGCCCCAUGUAAGGGCUUGCUCUGUGUCAGUGUGUGGCGCAUAGAUAAGAUGCCUGCCUUUGGUGUGUGAGACCUGGGUUCGAUUCCCACUGAGACAUCCACCAUUGUGGAGCAAGACACUUAACCCCUAGUUGCUCCAGAGACAUGCCACCUCAUGUAUAGCAAUUGUAAGUCGCUUUGGAUAAGCGUCAGCUAAAUGAAUAAAUGUAAAGUCUAUCCUAAAUGAAUAAAAGUUUGCAGCAUCAGUGUCCCGUUUAA